UGGGGGAAAAUUAGUAUAUAAAAUUAUAAUAAAAAUAAUUUUAAUAAAAUAUGAUGGGGUUAAAGUAUUUUAUAAAGAAAAAAUUGUUUAAUUUAUAAAGAAUUAGUAUUGUGAAAGAAAUUUGAAAUAUUUGAAAAUUAAUUAAUUUAAUAGUAAAUUUUAAUUAUUGUAUCUUGUGUAUCAGAGUUUAUUAAUAAAGAUUUUUAUAAAAAAAAAAUUCUCGAAUUUGAAAGAGUUAAUUAGUUAAAAAAAUUAUUGUUGCAAAAAUAUUUUUCAUAAUUAAUUAGAAAUGAAAUGUUAAUCGUUUUUAAAUAUAUCUAGUUUUUUUAGAAAAAAAUUUAAUUUUAAAUUAUUUUAAUUAAAAAUUUAAAUAAUAAAAUUUUUAAAAAAUUAAAUUUAAUAUUUUAAGGGAUAAGCUUUAAUUUAAAUUUUUAUAAUAGUUUUUUUUUUAUUAAUUGAAAAUUUUAAAAUUUAUAUUGUUUAAAAAUUAUAAUUUUUUAUAAAUAAUUUCAAAAUAAAAUAAAAUUUAAAAAAUUAAAUUUAAAUUUUUAUAAAAUAAGUAAAAUUUAAUAUUAUAAUUUUAGUUACAAUGAUAAAAUUAGUAUAUGAAUAUAUAAUAUAAAAAUUAUUAAAUAUGAAUUAGUGGAAAAUUAAUUAUAAGGAAUUCGGCAAAUUUUUAUAUUCACUUGUUUAUCAAAAACAUGUCUUUUUGAAAUAAUUUAAAGUCUAAUCUGCCCACUGAUAAAAAUUAAAGGGCUGCAGUAUUUUGACUGUACAAAGGUAGCAUAAUCAUUAGUCUCUUAAUUGGUGACUUGUAUGAAAGAUUGGAUGAGAUAUAAACUGUCUUAUUAUUAUUAAUAAAAUUUAAUUUUUUAGUUAAAAAGCUAAAAUAUUUUUAAAAGACGAGAAGACCCUAUAGAGUUUUAUAUUAAAGUUAAUUAUAAAUUUUUAUAUUAAUGUUAAGUUUGAAUUAAUUUUAAUAUUUUGUUGGGGUGAUAAAAAAAUAAAAUUAACUUUUUUUUUAUAUUAUAUAUAUAUAUAUAUAUAUAUAUAUAUAACAUUAAUUAAUGAAUAAAUGAUCCAUAAAUUAUGAUUAAAAGAUUAAAUUACCUUAGGGAUAACAGCGUAAUUUUUUUUUUUAGUUCAAAUAAAAAAGAAAGUUUGCGACCUCGAUGUUGGAUUAAGAUAAAAUUUAAAUGCAAAAGUUUAAAAUUUUGAUCUGUUCGAUCAUUAAAAUCUUACAUGAUCUGAGUUCAAACCGGUGUAAGCCAGGUUGGUUUCUAUCUUUAUAUACAUUAAAUAUUUUAGUACGAAAGGAUCAAAUAUUUAAAAUAAUUUUAUUUUAUAAGAAUAUUACUAAAUGUGUUUGUUUAAAUUAA
rnacentral:rRNA from 1 species